rfam:Bombyx mori DNA, contig: Bm_scaf40_contig23075, strain: p50T/Dazao, build 2, whole genome shotgun sequence.
UUACCUCAAAUUUGUAUGGAGUUGGAACGUAUGCCUACGUGUGUCACUAGGGGCGCUGUUUCAACUGCAUACAAAUUUGCUUAA